rnacentral:lncRNA from 1 species
GAAGUUGGCAGCAGCGGAUGAUAUGGUUUGGCGGAAGAAUUUGGUGGCAGAGGAGCUCUCGGUGGUGGAUAGAUCUAGCUCAGGAAGCCUUCAACUGGAACGAAGCUAGUUGGAUUUGGGGGAAAAACUCAGGUAAUGGACCUUUGGCAGAGAUUCAAUUGCUGGAAAAUGCAUCAGCAGAAGAAUAACCUCAUAAUAUUUCCAAAAGUGCUUUUACAAGUGUGCUAUGGUGGAUUUAUAGUAAAUCCU